rnacentral:rRNA from 1 species
GUCGAGCGCUGUAGCAAUACAGAGCGGCGCACGGGUGAGUAACACGUGGGAACGUGCCUAUCGGUUCGGAAUAACGUAGGGAAACUUGCGCUAAUACCGAAUACGCCCCCUGGGGGAAAGAUUUAUCGCCGAUAGAGCGGCCCGCGUCCGAUUAGCUUGUUGGUGAGGUAAAAGCUCACCAAGGCAACGAUCGGUAGCUGGUUUGAGAGAACGACCAGCCACACUGGGACUGAGACACGGCCCAGACUCCUACGGGAGGCAGCAGUGGGGAAUCUUGGACAAUGGGGGAAACCCUGAUCCAGCCAUGCCGCGUGAGUGAUGAAGGCCUUAGGGUUGUAAAACUCUUUCGCGCACGACGAUAAUGACGGUAGUGCGAGAAGAAGCU